GACAGGAUAGCCCAGUAGUAAAGGCAUCACAUUGACAUUGUGCCUCAGCUUACAUGCUGAGGGCCCAGGUUAAAAUCCUGGUCUAGUUA
rnacentral:tRNA from 1 species